GAGCUUUCAGGAAGGAACACAGACCUGCCCAUACUUUGAUUUUAACUUCUGAGCUCCUGUAUGGUUUUAUCUCAGAUAAAUUUAGUGUUGGCUGAGUCUGCUGUGACAGCCCCUCUUUCGUUCCUGCUCUCCAAGUCUUUGCAGUCCUGUUUGGAUCUGACCUGCUAGGGCUGGAGAUCCAGUUUUCAUUUGACUCUCUGCCUGCACGAACAGUGCUACAGAGGCAUUCUCCUGCAUAUUCUCCUGUGGACCAUGUGAAAAUUUGCCUUGGAGGAAAGAGUGCCGGCAGCUUGCUUGACGUCACCAUGCUGAAGAGCCUGGAUGUAAUUCUCUGGUAAGCCUGUGUGAGCCCCGCAUCGGGCUCUCUGCUCAGCCGGGAGCCUGCUUCCCUUCCUCUCUCUCUGUCUACCUCUCUGCCUGCUUGUGAUCACUCUCUGCCAAAUAAAUAAAUAUAAUCUUAAAAAAAAGAAGCCUGUGUGAAUGAGGCAGUGCAUUGUUUUCAUGUUUUU